GGACAUAGCUCAGUGGUAAAGCAUCUGCUUUGCAUCCAAAAGGUCCCAAGUUCAAUCCUCAGCAUCUCCA